CCUCCCCUCCUGAUCCUGAACAUGUUACCAAGGUACCCCUGUUCGUUUUCUUGCACCCUUUCCUCUCCCUCAAUAAACGAAGUUGCAGUUUUACACGCUGAUGUUUGUCAAGCACUCAGUCAUCAGCAUAAGACUUCACUUAUGUUGCCUCUAAGGCAUCUUUUGUAUUCUGAAAGGGAAGUGCUUUCCGCUGGCAGGCCGGUCUUCAAAACAAACAAACUCAACAAUGGAACAACAGAUCUCUCUGUUCAGUUCAGACAUUAUAUUUCUGUUGUGGUGAUCUGUCUGCCUCACUUUCUAAAAUGAAAAGAAGCAACGGAACCCAGACAGGUGCAACACUAUGCCUCUCCAGCUUGUGUGUCUGAUUUUUUUUCUCUCUUUUCCUUCCCGGGAAGUUCUCAGAGAGCAAAAGCACCCGUGUUGGUUAGGAGCUGAUGUUUCUUUGGUUAGUUCCUCUGUAUUUUUUUUUAUUGCCGAUAUCUGCGGCCCCACUCAGCCAGGUUCUUUUUUAUUGCUCAGGAUUGGCCCGGUAUCCGAACACACGGAUGUGUCCAUCCCGUCGCGCGGCGCCGUGUCUGCCUGCAUGUUCAACGUGUCGACUCUAAUUCAAACUCCUCUGUUCUCCUCUCAUCUGUCUGCUCCAGAUGUUGCACUGGGUGUCAAAACGGAUCUGUGAGGGGGGUGGUGGGGGGGAGGAGGGGGGGUGGAAAGCAACACAUUUCUAUGUUUGCUGAAACUGAUAGAUGCACUUUGAAAUUCAAUUCAGGCGUACAGGAGGAGAUGAGUCCAAUUCAGCAUGUGGAAGCCUUGAUGCCACUGCAGAUUUCAUGUCUUGCUUGUUAUCUAAACCGAUUCAUCUGACUCCACUGCCAAGAGAAGAAGAAAAAAUAUCACACUGUUUAUUGGUUAAUGUACUUCUCUGCUUGUCCAAGUAUUUGACAAUAGUGAAUGAAUGGACCUCUGCGCGGUGUAAUUGCCCCCCUCUUUGUCUGGCUAAUGACUGCCUCGUGUCUGUCUGGGCUGUGCAGAUGCCCCGCCACCAGGAGGCGCUGACAAAGAGCGGGACCCCUGCGCGUGUGUUGAUUUAUUUAUCCAUGUCUGGAUUAAAGCCUGUAUACCUGAUAAAGGGGAUGUCAGAGGAGCUUUGACAGCCACAGAGGCGGCAGAGUGUGUGCGAUUUGGUCGCUGCGCCGGCAGGAACAAGGAGUGCCGAUGGCAUCUUUGAAGUCUUGACAGACGAGAGCCUCUGAGCAUCCCCUUAAUCUUGCCUUCCCCUCGGAAAGGCGCGCGAAGCAGGCAGGUUCUGAGCGCGCUCUGCUCCCUGUUUGCCUUAUUCUCUUAAUGACACAAACCAUUCAGCGGCCACGCGUGAUAGCAUUUCAUCUGCCGUAAUGUGUGGUGGCUGCUCACUUCAAACACUUCGGCGCCUCCCCGCGUUAAGCCGGCUGGAGACGGCACGAGCCGGGACACAAGGCUCUUCCCAUUGGCGACGAUGGGAUGCCUGCGUGCAGCUCAUGCUGUUUGAUUGCGCUGAUUGUUUUCGUGAGCGCACCUAAAGCAAAUACAAAGAAUCUGCCGUGUAUGAUUGUCUGGAAACCAGAUCAGUGGAGAGAGGUGUGUUUCACACCUGAACGCUCCGUCUGCCUCGAGUGAUUCGCCGCGCUCAUAAUGACCCUUGAACUGUUCCCAUUACUGUCGCUUCACACGGCACAGGCAAUAUUGCUUCCUCACAUAAAGACACUACAAAGACAAUGCCGGGGGAGUACAGCAGCAGGCUGCGCUGCAUUACGCUGCACUCCACCUUGAGCUUAUCUCCUAUCAGCUCCGAUCUGGCAUCUUUCCAUCAAUUCUCGUCUUCCUGCACAUCACAACCGGGACGAUGACAAAGCAGCCAUGCAGGCGCAGUGGAAUAUGGAUGGUGGGGGGGGGGGCUUUGGUUGUGGACACCAAAGCUGCUGGGCAGAAGAGGGCGCUGGGGUUAAUUACUCCAUUACUGGGUGGCUCAGCCAGGAGCUGUUUAAACAAGCCCCAGUCAGCAGGGGAUUAGGCCUCAUUACUCCAGCUAAAGCUACGCCCACGACCCUUCCCCACCGCCUCUUUCUGCGGGUUUGUCGUGCAUUCCGUGGAAUAUUCACAUUGAGGGUGAAGGGGAGGAGAUGGGAAAAAGAAAAGAGAGAUUAAGACCAAGCAGUUGCAGAAGGACAGGUGCGAGGGAGAAGAGCAAACGACAAGGCUUAACUCCGGCGGAUAGCCUGCAUCUUCACCUGAACUCAGCCAGGGCUACAAUUACCUCCCCCCCCCCCUCACCCCCUACCCAAAUGCCCGAGCGUGGCAAGAUUAGCAUCUGAGGCUCGGGUUACCCUCCCUCCCACCAAACCGAACCCCCGGGCAUCCUUGGCCACCGCCUCCUCCAUCGUCUUCCUCCCGCAGGUGUCUGAUGGCACUCGGUGAUAAUGACGGUGCUCUCGUUUGCAGGACGGGACGUCUGGAAUUAGGUCGCUGCAUGUGCUCCCCGAGCGGGGCAAGAUGGGUCAGUUUACCAGGUCUAUAGGGCAUGAAAUACUGAGGUCUACGGUGACAGUCAUAUCACUCAGGGAUGAAAGGUGUCUUUGUGCAAUAGACAAAGUGGUCUUUCGCUGUGUCUAAAUGUAUGUUAAGGCUUUUACAUUAAAAUUGUUUUGCACAGCAAAACUCCGGUACUUAAUCAGAAGCCUAUGUGUGCUCUUUGCGACCUAAUUUAGUGUACUUAAAAAAGUCUACUGCAAAGCUGGUGGCUCUACAAACACUAUCUGGGGCACUAAGUACACAACACACUAUGCACCUGAAGCCCAAUGAUGGGACAAGGAGGAAAGUCAAACGAUCAUCUAAGUGACUACAGUUCAUCUCGAGAGGAACAUCAAUGUGAAAUCCAUCCAACGAUUUAGCACCACCAACAAAAAACCCUUCUCCUGACAUCAUUAAUGCAAUUUGCUGAAAUAAAUACAUUGAAGACCCAGUGAAACAGAAGUAAGAGCGUCCGUAGCUACAGUGAUGUGAUGUAAUCUGGAGUGAAACCGAAUAUGUUGACAGGGUUUAGUUACAAGGUGGAUUUACAUCAAAUGCUGCACGAGUGGAUUGCUGAAAGGAGGCUCAACAACUACAAAUCCAUACGGACCUGACCGAAGACAAGUGUGAGUGAACCCAUCCAGAACAACCACCACCCAACCCCAGUGGGGAUAAUA
ensembl:lncRNA